GAUCCUGGCUCUGGACGAACGCUGGCGGCGUGCCUAAUACAUGCAAGUCGAGCGGACGAUUCAAAAGCUUGCUUUUGAAUCGUUAGCGGCGGACGGGUGAGUAACACGUGGGCAACCUGCCCUGUAGACGGGGAUAACACCGAGAAAUCGGUGCUAAUACCGGAUAACACGGAAGACCGCAUGGUUUUUCGUUGAAAGGCGGCGCAAGCUGUCGCUACAGGAUGGGCCCGCGGCGCAUUAGCUAGUUGGUGAGGUAACGGCUCACCAAGGCGACGAUGCGUAGCCGACCUGAGAGGGUGAUCGGCCACACUGGGACUGAGACACGGCCCAGACUCCUACGGGAGGCAGCAGUAGGGAAUCUUCCGCAAUGGACGAAAGUCUGACGGAGCAACGCCGCGUGAGCGAAGAAGGCCUUCGGGUCGUAAAGCUCUGUUGUUAGGGAAGAACAAGUACCGCAGUCACUGGCGGUACCUUGACGGUACCUAACGAGAAAGCCACGGCUAACUACGUGCCAGCAGCCGCGGUAAUACGUAGGUGGCAAGCGUUGUCCGGAAUUAUUGGGCGUAAAGCGCGCGCAGGCGGUUCCUUAAGUCUGAUGUGAAAGCCCACGGCUCAACCGUGGAGGGUCAUUGGAAACUGGGGGACUUGAGUGCAGAAGAGGAGAGCGGAAUUCCACGUGUAGCGGUGAAAUGCGUAGAGAUGUGGAGGAACACCAGUGGCGAAGGCGGCUCUCUGGUCUGUAACUGACGCUGAGGCGCGAAAGCGUGGGGAGCAAACAGGAUUAGAUACCCUGGUAGUCCACGCCGUAAACGAUGAGUGCUAAGUGUUA
rnacentral:rRNA from 1 species